rnacentral:lncRNA from 1 species
GGGCGUGUAGUUAUUGUAAUACCCAGGAGGUGAUGGUCACCGAACCCUUCUUAGAGGACUUCGGGAUCGAUGAUUUCGACCCCCAUUAUGCCACCUCAGGGGUGGAGAUUAGAAGCACUGGUAUCUUUUCUCCUCUCACCUUAGAUGACGCUCCUUACUAGAUCCUGCUAUGGCUGAACCGACAGGAGUAUCAUUGACAAAGGC